UGGGGAAUCUUAGACAAUGGGGGAAACCCUGAUCUAGCCAUGCCGCGUGAGUGACGAAGGCCCUAGGGUCGUAAAGCUCUUUCAACUGUGAAGAUAAUGACGGUAGCAGUAGAAGAAACCCCGGCUAACUCCGUGCCAGCAGCCGCGGUAAUACGGAGGGGGUUAGCGUUGUUCGGAAUUACUGGGCGUAAAGCGCGCGUAGGCGGACUAUUAAGUCGAGGGUGAAAUCCCGGGGCUCAACCCCGGAACUGCCUUCGAUACUGGUAGUCUUGAGUUCGAGAGAGGUGAGUGGAAUUCCGAGUGUAGAGGUGAAAUUCGUAGAUAUUCGGAGGAACACCAGUGGCGAAGGCGGCUCACUGGCUCGAUACUGACGCUGAGGUGCGAAAGUGUGGGGAGCAAACA
rnacentral:rRNA from 1 species